rnacentral:lncRNA from 1 species
UUUUUUAUUUAUCGACAAAAAAUGCAGCAAAAAGACCUCUUUGUUUGUGGAGUGGCGAUGUGAAACAAUUGGAAAGAUAAAUUAACUUUUCCUUCAGUUUUAACUGAACAUAAUAAUCCAACAGCAUCAAUGCUGGAAUCAAAAAGGACAAAAAAGUGCAUGCAGUUAGAGUCCACAAGUCCAAAAUGGACAUUAAUUGAAAGUAAUAAGAAAUUGAAUUUGUAAAAGAUUUAUUAAAGUCCAAUCAUCUUGGAUUUAGUUUUGCAAUCUAAGUGUCUUUUCAAGCAAAAAGUUUUACUUGAUCGCAAUUCAUUCUAGUAGAACUUGCAAUUAUACUUGAGGCUGUGCUUUGUGUGCCAAGGUUGUUUUGACCGUUAUAGUUUGUGUAGCGAUGCUGCAAGGUAUGUGUGACCCAUUAAUUGGGAUUUGUUUAGAUUGUGAUUUUGUGAAAACUUGGUGAGCAAAUAGCAGGUUGAUUUAUGAGUUUUGGGAGAGAUUAAUCACCAAUUAGUGAUUCUAUUGUUUGAUUAAGUUCGCAGUAGAUUAUUUUUGGCUAAGGCUUAUGCCAAACCACAUUAAAUUUGUUCUUUUUUUUUUUUUUUUUUUUUUUUUUUGACAUCUAUUUUAGAGAAGUUUUCAUAACAAGUGAUAUGAAAGCCUUUGGUUUGCAAUGUCAAAGAUUCUAUAAAUGGUGGCAUCAAGAUUUCAGGUGUAGCUUUCCAAUAGUAAAAUAAUUUCAGUCCAUAGCAAAACAUCGUGAAAGAUAUCUUUGUACAUGAAGUAACAACUAAAAUGACCUGGUGACUAUCAAUGAUAAUAAUGACACUGAUUCGGAUGAGCUUCGACAAAAAGUUGACUACCAUCCCUUAGACCUUUGAUCCUAAUAUGAUUGUGACGUUCUAAAUUAGAAUGAUCCCAUUUAUUGAUUGGUGUCUUAUUGAAUUGAAUUUGAAAAAUCCAACCUUAUUCUGAAUUCAAUUUUGUGGUGCCUAUGCAAGAAGAAACUUUGCUUAAUUGUUAGGGCAUUUUGUUUAGCCAUGCAUGAUAGCUUAUUUAUUCUCGAUAGCUAGGUUAUAAGUGUUUGGUAAGUAUAUUAAUCUAAUAAAAGUUCCAUUUCGUUUCAGAGCUUUUUCCUAUCAACAGCUAGUUGAUUCAUAUUUAUAUUAUAUUUUGAAUCUAUUAGCCUUAUGAAAAUAACGACUGCUUUUUUUUAAUUAGUACUUAUAUAUAAUCGCUUUAAUUUAAUUAAUUAAAGAUAAAAAAUAAUUAUAAAAAAUUUAAUUAAUAAAUUUAUUUCUUAACACAUUAAAAUGACUAGAAUUGUCAUCAUACUUAAAUGGUCCAAAAAAUUGCCAUUUAUACAAUGACAUCACAUGAAAUUUUCUUUUUUUUUUUUUCACAAAAAAACAGUCAAAAUUUUGGAAAUGGCAUAAAUAGAAACACACAUUUUAACUCUAUCAAAAAACCUUUCUUCAAAAAUGAGCAACUCCACUUCGGAUUCUAUUCUCUCUCUUUUCCCUAUAACAAAAUGGACAGCAUUUGCUGUUUCAGAUAGACAAUUCCAUCCAGAAGCUCAAGCUUAUAAUGAUUGCCUAUGAGUAAGUAUUUUCUUAAGCAUGGACAAGUGCAAACAUCCAAUUUUCAUGUUGGUUGGAGCUCUAUACGUAUAACCAACAUGAUUUAUCACAACAAAUAGAGAAUUGCAAAACAAAUACCUAUGUAUACACUAUGCCUAUAUUUGGUCAGUCAUAAUAUUGUAUUCGAUAGAGAGAAUGCAAUACCUGACAAAUGUCGCACUUAGGCAUAUGAGGGGAGGAGCUAGAAAGAGGAACUCUCUGAUGCUUGCUUGCAAGCUUGUUGGCGGCGUGAACCUUCUCAUCACACGCCCAACACAACGCUGCCUCAUCUGCGCAGCAAAGAACGUUCGCCUCCGCCGCCUCACAAACGUUGCACUGAAUCUUCAUCCUCCACAAACUUCAAGUUCAAAAUCAUAAACAAAACAAAGAUCCAAUAAAAUAUUUUAGAGAAGUUUUCAUAACAAGUGAUAUGAAAGCCUUUGGUUUGCAAUGUCAAAGAUUCUAUAAAUGGUGGCAUCAAGAUUUCAGGUGUAGCUUUCCAAUAGUAAAAUAAUUUCAGUCCAUAGCAAAACAUCGUGAAAGAUAUCUUUGUACAUGAAGUAACAACUAAAAUGACCUGGUGACUAUCAAUGAUAAUAAUGACACUGAUUCGGAUGAGCUUCGACAAAAAGUUGAC